CCCCUGGUGGUGCAAACAGUUGAGCAUUCAGCUACUAACCGAAAGGCUGGUGGUUCAAAUCCACCCAGGGGCA
rnacentral:tRNA from 1 species